GAUUGAACGCUAGCGGGAUGCUUUACACAUGCAAGUCGAACGGCAGCGCGGACUUCGGUCUGGCGGCGAGUGGCGAACGGGUGAGUAAUAUAUCGGAACGUGCCCAGUAGCGGGGGAUAACUACGCGAAAGCGUGGCUAAUACCGCAUACGCCCUACGGGGGAAAGGGGGGAUCGCAAGACCUCUCACUAUUGGAGCGGCCGAUAUCAGAUUAGCUAGUUGGUGAGGUAAAGGCUCACCAAGGCGACGAUCUGUAGCUGGUUUGAGAGGACGACCAGCCACACUGGGACUGAGACACGGCCCAGACUCCUACGGGAGGCAGCAGUGGGAAUUUGGACAAUGGGGGAAACCCUGAUCCAGCCAUCCCGCGU
rnacentral:rRNA from 1 species